rnacentral:lncRNA from 1 species
CACUGAUCCUAGCUUGGCUAGUUUGUCUCCCCCCCCCCCCCCCCCCCCCCCCCCCCCCCCCCCCCCCCCCCCCCCCCCCCCCCCCCCCCCCCCCCGCCCCAGAGAUGGCUGGAAGCACCUCUUACUUCUCUCCUCUCUACUUCUCUUAAAUCUUCUAGUUCUUGCAACUCCAGAAAUGAGAGGGUGUCACACCUAACCAAGCUAGGGUCAGUGUGUUCUCUACUUAAUCCUCACAUUCUCUCAUCUCCCAGAAAAGGGAGAGAUACCUCCUGGGUUUGGGACUCACCUCUCAGGACCAUGGGACCACUUUUGACCACCCUCAAAAGUGAGGAGCUGUCCUGGGCUCACAGUAGGGGAUGAUCAGGAGAUACAUGUCUUCCCUUGGAGGCGGGUGGUAUAUAUCCAAGGCUUAUAAAUGUGAGUUUUACCCCAACACUUGAAGCCCUCUCCCAUCAGUGCCCACUCCAGAAGCACUCAGCAUGGUCUCCCUCUCUGUCCAUCUUUCUUUCUACUAGGUUGGGAAGGGCCUACAGGUCUCACAGUGCACCAUACCCUACUGGGCUGUGGUGUAAGCUCUCCGCUAGCAUUUGCUCUGUGAAUCAAGAAUGUUUCUUCACCCUCUGUUUCCUGUUUCCAGUUUGCUGAUCUCAAGUCAGGAAUCAGAUACCACCUCCUCAUCUGCCUUCUUGUUCACAAAUUCCCCCCAACUUCUGCUUCUGUAUUUUGCUUGACAGCUUCUCUUUCUCAUCUGAUUGCUCCCACCUUAGUGUAGGCUGCUGCCAUUCCUCUGCUGGCCCAGUACACAGGUCCUCCUUGACCUCCCUUCCCUUCUGUCCUUCCUUUCUUCUUUUGGCAGCCUGUCUUUCCCCUGCAAUCCUGAUGAGGUCACUCUCUUCCUCAGAUACCAUAUUGAAUUUCAUGGAAACCUAACUAUCCAGCCUGGUCUGAAGGCCCUUUCUGAUCUAACUCCACAUGGUCCAGCCACUUCCUCUCCCAGCCACCAAAGGAACAUGGGCUGAAGGUGGUGGUGGGGUUCCUAUUCUAAGAUAGCUACUCUGAGAAAGCCUGCUCCCCCUCAACACCCACCAUUCUCAUCAGCUCUGCUGUAUUCGGGGUCUGAGGUGCACUUAUUUAACCAGGAAAGUAGACCAAGUUUAGGGUUAGGGUCAGCACUUUGGCUAGUGGAGAAUAAGAAAAUAGGUUGCAACCAUCUUGUGUUUCACUGUUAUACUUUCAUGUUGUAAUCUUAAUGCAUGCCAUAUUCAUGUUUUCCUAAAAACAACUUUUUCACAAGCACCCCAGCCAUGAUUCUCUGUGAGCCCUUGUCUUCUGCAAACUAUAUCUCAGCUAAGAACUCCCAGGCCUCUCGCAGACCUUCAUGAUGGUCAAGGUUCAUUUUGCUCUUGGUUGCUUCCUUGUUUCAUGGAUGCAGGGAGAGGGGAGGAGAUUUCUCUUCCCACUUCAAGGUGACAGUGGAAGACCUUGUCAUUUCAUGUUCUCAAAGAGUAAGAAGGCUGGCAGGAGCUCAUUUCACCAUAGUAUGUGGAGAAAGGGGAGUAAAAUGGAGGGAGAGAAAAAGAUACAUCAAUCUAUCAGGACAAAUUUGGAGAACAGAGCUUGGGAUACAGUGCCCUCUGUGUCUCAGUCCUGGGAGUACUACCUGAAGGUGUGUGUGGCAUGGAGCAGAAAGCUACCAGAAGCCAGGAAGUGGAGAAAGCUCUGCUCACCAGGGACAAAAUGUAAACCCCAAAGGCAGGCCCCCAGUGAACUACUUCCUCUAGUUAUACCCCACCUGCUUAUAGUUACCACCUAGUUAAUCUGUAUCAGUAGAUUAAUUCACCGAUUAGGUUACAGCUCUCAUAAUCUAAUCUUUUUACCUUUGAACAUCCUUGCAUUGUCUCACACAUGAGCUUGUUAUCGAAACCAUAAUCAUGUUGCUGCUCAAAAAAUGUCAGAUUUUGCAGUGUAUCAGAUUUCGGGCUUUCAGAUUAGAGACACAAAACCUAUUGUAACACUUUCUUCCCACCCCCAAAUUCCCUAUGAUCCAACACAAAAUGUGUUUAUAGUGGGUUACCUUUGAUUUUUGUAGCUAAACUACAGAAUAUCAAAGGUGUUGUGUGUGUGCAUGUGUGCACGUGCAUGCACGUAAAGUGUACAAUAGCUAGAGGAAUAGAUGUCACCUAACAGUAAAUGAAGGAUGUCUAGACUUGAGUCCUCUAUAAGGAACAGGAUUAAUAUGUUUUUGAUUAUACAAGGCAGCUAUCAUAUUAGUGGACCACCUCUGGUCACAUGCGCACCCCCACCACUGAGAACAGGUACCAGGGAUUAACAGCCUUUUCCCUGGGCACAACAUGAUUUUGUUAUCUAUUAUUUGGAAGUUGAUAUAGUUAAAGGAGGUGUGUGGAAAUGCCACAUUGACAAAGGGGUGUUGUGGUUUUGUACUGUUAUAACCUGCCUAACUGAGCUAAGUUUCCCAGAAUCACCUUCAAUACUUGAUUUUGAGUCAGCAUUGCCCUAAAUAGACAUUUGAAAGACACCAGGGUGGUAGAAAGGAAGUGACAGCUAUCACAAUUUGUAAUAGUGAGAGGCAGAGAUACUAGGAUUAGAGUGAGGCCAAGGGUCCCUGGGGCUAGCUUAUACAUAGGAAGCACCCAUUCUCAGGGCUGCACAAGAAUAAGGGUUAGAGCCGCCUGAGAGUGAGGACUCCUUAAAUGUUGAAUCUGCUUGAAACUACCAUUUGUGGUAGUUCUCCCUGUUCUUAGGAAGUAAGUAGGCCCAAGAGUGACCUGUAAGAACAAAGCACUGCUGACCUUACUUUUCUGCUAUGGGCUGAAACCAUCUCCUCUGCACAUUCCCCACUUGUUACAGAGCUUGACAUUAGUAAAAGCUGAUUUUAUUCAGGAACUAUUACAAUAAGGAAAAACGAGGCCUUAGUAUAAAAUUGGGCUCAAUUUCAGAUACAUGAUGGCCCAAUGGGAAUUUGUAGUUAAGGAGCAGGGUCAGAGCUGGUAGAUGAAAAACAACUAAGAGAAAACACCAAGGUAAAGAGGGAUUCUUGCUAAACCAGUUUAAUAGGAUUCUUACUGAAGGUAAGUCAGGUGUUCAGACAUGGGCUGGGGGAGGUAGGGGAAGAUGAGAUAGUUUAUAUAGCAGAGGUGAACAGCUAUUCAGGGUGUGAGACUCUGGCUAACCUAAUUUAGCAGGAUUCUUGCUAAAACUGGGCAGUUCAGGCUCUGCAAAGACAAAAACUGAAGCCCAAAGUCAAGCCUAAUUGAGAAGGUGGCUAGUCAGAGGAUCAUGACUAAAGUUUGGUCAAUGAGAACAUCUUUAUCACAUUCCACCCCUGGGUUUCCUUAUACUGAGAAGCCUUGGGCACUAUUCCAGCUGUAUAUUUCCAGAAUUCUGUCAACUCUUGUUAGAAGUUUUGGUUGGUUAUUGGGCUGUGCUUGCUCAGGAAUCUCCACUAUCCCUGGCCUGGGGGGGAUGGCCAGUUGCCUCUAUGAGGUUGUCCCUCUCCUGUUGUGCCCAGGGGAAAGGCUGUUAAUCCUUGGUACCUGAUCGCAGUGGUGGGGGUGGGCAUGUGAUCAGAGGUGGUCCACUGAGAAGCCCUCUCUGUGCCCUGGAAUCUGGUCUCAUGACCACCUCUUUCUUUCUUUCUUUUCUUAACUAUUUUUUUAGUUGUCAAUGGACCUUUAUUUCUUAAUUUACACACAGUGCGAAGAAUUGAACCCAGUGCCUCACACAUGCUAGGCAAGCUCUGUACCACUGAGCCAUAACCCCAGUCCAGAUGACCACCUCUUUCUUUGGGUGGUGCCAUGUGCAGGGGCUAGGCCCUGCUCUGCUGGAGCCAUUUUGCCUCCAUGAAAGAAACCAGCCAAGGUGGGGUAAGGGCAGGGCAGGGCAGGGAGAAUUCUAGAGACACAGGGCCAGGGGCUCUGAAUGCAGGCAGCCCUGAGUCUGGAUUUUCAGUUAUUCAAAAGCCUCUUGUUUGAGGACAUUUGAAUGGGGUUUUCUGCACCCUGUAGUAUUGCUUACUGACAUGGACCAUAGCAGACAUCAGUACACAUGCUAUGAAAGCACAACAAGGAAGGGCACCUGAUAAUUCUUUCCUACCCAUAAAUGAAGUAGAAAAAGGCCAAGAAAUCCUACAAUACAGAUGUAAUUAAAUUGGAAACAUAAGGAGAACAGACAUGACUUGUGUAAUAUAAGUGCUUGGUAUACGUUUUACAAGGAAAUGUUCCAUGAAGAAAGUAAUUUGGGGAAAAACUCCCAUUUUCAGGAAUUGUGGGUUAGGCCAGAGAAGAGCCAAAAGUAACAGAUGGAAAAAGAUACCAUGAAAUUCCUAUCCAAAAGAAAACUGGUGUAGUUAUAUUGAUAUCAGACAAAAGAAACUUUAAGGUAAAAAAUACCAUAUGAAAUAAACAGUUACUUUAUUUUAAUAAAACUUUUAUUUCAUCAGGAAGGAAACUUUUAAAUUUGUAUAUACCUAAUAAUGUAAUCUAAACAAUAAAAAGUAAGCUGGACAUGGUGGACAUGCCAAUAAUCCCAUCUGUUCUGGAGACUGAGACAGGAGGAUCUCAAGUUCAAAGCCAGGCUUAGCAACUUAGCAAGGCCCUGAGCAACUUAGUGAAACCCUGUCUCAAAAUAUAAGAAGGGCUGGGAAUGUGGCUCAGUGGUUAAGUGCUCCUAGGUUUAAUCCCUGGCACUAAAUAUAAAUAUAAAUAUGAAUUUAUGUAUUAUAUAUAAUAUAUAUUUAUAUAUAAAUAACUAAUUAAUUUGCAAGGAAAUAUAGAGAUAUUCACAAUUCAAAGAGGAAGAGAAAUAAAAAUCGAAAGGAAGAUUGAAGAUUGGAAGACCAUUAUUGGCUCAACUCAAUGGACUUAGAGAUAUAACAUUAUAUUCAACAGUUACAAUGUGUAUAUUAUCUUCAGAGAUAAGAAUAGACAUGGAACUUUGACAAAUAUGUAUUGGGUUAUAAAGUAAGUCUCUAUGUCAAAUUUCAAAGUAUCUGCCCUAAACACAUAAAAUUAAACUAGUAUAUAACUAGAAUGCCUUUACAUGUUUGCAGAUUAAUACAUUGCUAAAUUGUCCAACAGUCAGAAAAUUAUAAAAUGAAAAUGAGGUAAUAUUUGAACUGAAGAUGAUAUAUAAAUGAACUAAGUAAUAAUGAGACUACUAUGUAAAAACAGGCAGGAUGCAGCUAAGUUAGUACAUAAAGGGAAACUGAUAGCCUUAAAGUGUGUAUCUAUUCAGGACCAAAUGAUGAAAUUAAUGAGCUAAGAAUAUACCUUAGAAGUCAGAGAAUAGCAAAAUAAACAGAAGAAAGUAGAAUGAGGGAUGUAAGAAAGACAAAAAAUGAGGGAUGUAAGAAAGAGAGCAAAAUUAGUGGAAUAGAAAAUAAAUAAUUAGAUGACAACAAAAAAGCAAAGUUGCAAGAAAAAGGAAAAAAAGACAUAAGUCACCUAUAUCAGAAAUGAAAUGGGACAUUUGACACAUGCAGAGCCCGAAAUGUAGAAGCUAUUAUAAACAACAUUAUGCCAGUAAUUGAAGAUGAAAUAAGCAAAUUUUGAAACAAUCUAUUUGAACACACAUUUGACUCGAUAAAAAUAGAAAAUCUCAAUUUUUUUUUAAAGCCACUAAAGGCAUUGACUCAUUAGUUAAAAUUUUUUCAACAAAAGAAAUUCCCAGCUCACAUAGUUUCACUAGCAAGUUUGAUUAGCCAUACAAGGAAAACACUGUUCAAUUUUAACAAACUCUUCCAGGGAACAAAGAAAGAGAGGACCCCUCAAAAUUCAUUUUAUGAAGCAAAUAUAACCGUGGUCACAAAACCAAUGAGAACAGUCAGAAAAAUAAUAUUAUAGCUGAAUCUCACUCAGAUAUAUAAAUGCAUGUAUUCUGAACAAUACACUAUCAUACCGAAUUCAGCAAUAUUACGUGACAGCACAUGAUGGACAAAUCUAGUUCAUUUAUUUGAAGAAUGCAAGGUCAGCUUUAUAUCAGAAACAGUACAUUAUGUGCACAUUAGAGAGAAAAGAGAAAAAUCAUAAGCAUACAAAAAUAUGCAGAAUAAGCAUUCAAUAAAAAUUAAUUAAUUAUUUAUAAAAACAGUAAACAAGGAACAGAAAAAACUUUAUUAACCUGAUGAGGAUAUCUUUAAGGAAAUUUACAUCGGCCAUCUUGUCUAAUUGUAAAUUGUUUAAACACAUCCCUUUAUGACUCAUAACAGGAUGAGUAUGCCCCUUAAUUGUUGCAUAUGGUUGUGGGGUGCUGGCCUGGAUGAAGGUUAUAAGGCAAGGAAAAGAAAGAUACAAGAGUUGGGAGGACAUGUCACUAUUCACAGAUAUGUUUUAUAUAUAUAGCAAUUCCCAAAGAAUUCACAGAUAGACUAAUAGAAUCAAUAAGAAAACUUGGCACAUUUUUUUUGUGUGUAUGUUUAAAAAUGAUACAAUUUACAGUAAAACAUAAAUCACUUUUGGGAGUAAUCUAGAAAGAUGUUCAAGAUUUAAAUGGAGAAACUUAUACAUCUUUGUUGAAAGUAAAAACAACCUAUUAAUUGUACAUAGUGGUUUAUAGAUUGAUGGGCUCAGCAGUCAAGAUGUAAGUUCUUCCUUAUUUAGUCUGUAAAUUCAACAGGAAACCAAUUCAAAAGUUCAGACUCUGAUUCAUUUUUGUUAGAAUUUCAUAAAUAGAUCAUGAAAUCUUAACAAAAAAGAGUAAAGAAAAUUCUGGAUCCUCUUGAAGGAAAAGAGGAGAACACGCCCAUUGUGAUCAUCUGGGCUUCAUGGUUAUGAUUAAGAGGAAUUUCUAGAAUUUUCCCUCUGUGUUCCAAGUCCUCUCUGGAAUUCUGUACUCUUCCCCAACACCCCAGGCACAUCUGGGGUCAUACCUAGAGAUAGUUAUCCAGUGUGUCUGGGCAGGUGUCUUCUUUUCCAGGUGUGAUUGAUUUAUAUUUGUGGUUUUGAAUUUGUGUCAAAGAUGCCUAAAUGCAGCACAAAAGCCUCAGAGAUGCAAGCCCUGGGCACAGUCACCAGAAUAACAGAGCAUUUGGUUAAGGGAUGCACUGUUCCUGGUAGGUGCCUGGCUGCACACCUCUGUCUGAUUGUACACCUCUAUCAGGCCAUCUGGGUUCGCCUAUUCUGAGCCAGCACUUCUUUUCUUAGCACAAGCUUAUUUAGCUGGAUUAGUCUGUUUUUUUUUUUCUUUUUCUUUUUUGUUGUUAUAACAAAAUACCCGAGACUGGGUUAUUUAGAGGUUUAUUUAUCCCCCAGUUUUGGAGGCUGAAAGUUCAAGCCCAGGUGGUUCAGCCUCUGAUGAAAGCCUCCUUUGACUGCAUCUCAUUAUAGUGGAUGGUGUCAUGGCAGGAAUGCAUGCAAGAUGAGGAGAUCACAUGAUGAGACAAGAAGCCAGAGUGGAGAGGGGUCAAGGCUUGCUGUUUCAUAACCAUUCACACGGAAACUAACUGGCAUUCUAUGAGAAUUACCUUAAUCCCUCCCAAGGGCAGCCCCCACCCCCCACCCAGUGACCUGUUUCCUACUUGUAAAGAUUUCAUCACAAUACAGCCACAUCAAAGACCAAAUCUUCAACAUAUGGACUCUUGGGGGAUAAACCACAUCCAAAUCAUAGCAGUAGUUUCUCUAUGGCUUGUAGAAGGCUUGCUGGGCUGCAUUUCUGAUGUCACCAACUCUCUUAUGUCAGAAUUACCUCUCCUUACAGAGGAUAUCACAAUACCUUCCCUGUUUGAAAUUUCUUACUCCAAAAUUUUGUAUUUUCUGGUCAUUUUCCUUGGUCCAAGUGAGGAAACUGGGGGUUCAGCUUUCCAUUGCUGUAACAAAAUAAUUUUUCUAAUUGAAUUAUAAAGAGAAAAAUAUUUUGUUUCAUGAUUUUAGAGGUUCUUUUCCCUGAUUGGGCAGAACCAUAACUUAUGUUUCUGGUGCAGAUGCCAAAUGGCAGUGGUGUGGACUACAUGGCAGAGGAAACUGCUCACCUUAUGGUUGGAAAACAGGUGAAGCAAGAAGGGGCAAGGGUCCCACAAUCCCCUUGGGGGGAAAGCCUCCAUGAUCUAAAGACCUCUCUCCGAAACUCCUUUUUCUAAAGGUCCAUGGUACCUCCCAAUAGGAUCACCCUGUGGAAUAUCAGGGGACAUUCAAUAUCUAAAUUACAGCAAAUAGUGAACCAAGAGAACUGCCCUGGCUUUCAGAGAGGUGCAUGUCCUCAUUUCUUUUCUUUUUAAAAAAUGUGUGUGUGUGUGUGUGUGUGUGUGUAUACACACACAAUACACACACACACACAUAUUUUUUAGUUGUCAAAUUGUCAAAGGACCUUUAUUUUUUUAAUAUGUGGUGUGGAGAGUCAGACCCAGUGCCUCACACAUGCUAGACAAGUGCUCUACCACUGAGCUAUAGCCCUAGCCCCCAUUGUCCCUUAUUUCUUGCCCCUCAAGUGAGGACAUGUCCUGGGAGCUGAGACAGCCAGGAGCACUGGGAACAGGCUCACCCUCCCAUUAACAGAUCAUGGGAGUCAUGAAAGAUGGAGACAUGCUUGGUCCUGCAUCUAUGAUGGGAAUGACCCUUUUUGAAGUGAGAAUUCUAGGCUUUGAGUUUCUGUAGUGCGGCUAGAAACAGCCAGCCCACCUCUAGUCUCUUCAGUCUGCAGAUCCAUCACAUUAUUCUAGGAAAGUGGCCUCCUUGUCCCUUCAAGCCUUGCUCUCCAUAGGUUCUUUGUUUGCAGUUAAGUGAACAUAGCUUCUGCAGCCAGCAUCUCACUGAUAGUAGUCACAUGCUCUUGAUCUUUGGAAACAAUUGGCCCUGGUUAGCCAAUUUCAGGUUUGUUCUUCCUGUGCCUAUGUCUAUAAUGGUCUUGUUUUAAAAUCACAAACAAUAGUGCAUACUUGUUGUAUUAGUGAGCUUGAAUACCUGAUGCAGGCUAACUUUAUAAAGGAAAGAAGUUAAUUUAGCUCAUAGUCCAAAUGGCAUGGUGCAGGUACUAGAAAGCAUCUCCCUGGACUUCAACACCUCAUGGCCAAUGACAAUGGUGGGAGUGUGUGCAGGAGCAAGUGAUUGUAUCGUGAGGCUAGAUUCAGGCUUUUGUUACAACCCUCAGCAAAAAAAACUACCAAUGGGUUGCAUGAGAACUACCUCAAUGUGCCUUUUCAGGGCAGCUCCCCCAUAAACCCAAAGACCUUCUGCUAGGUCCCACAUCUUAAGGGUUUCUCAGCUCCCACAUUAACAUAUUAGGGAUCAAGCUCCCAAUACAUGAACCUUUGGGAGACAUAUUCAAACCAUAGCACUACUCAUGUUCAUAUUAGCAAAAAUAGAAUUGCUUCUUCAAGAAUGGGGCUGCUAGCAGGGCAUGGUGGUAAUCCCAGAUACUUGGAAGGCUGAGGUAGGAGGAUCACAAGUUCCAGGCUGGCUUGGGGCAACUUAGCAAGACCCUGUCUCAAAAAAAAGAAAAAGGGUAUGUCCCACGUGAUAUCCUAAAGUGCUCAUUACAGAUGUCUGCAAGACCUUAAGGACACUUGGGGCUUCCUGUCCUGCAUCCCUUCCCCUUUUUGUUCCUUGGAUCCUGACUCCUAGCCUACCUGCUGUCCCUGCAACUUGCUAGGUAUAUUUUCCACCUCAGGGCCUUUGCACUUGCAGUUCCUUCUGCCAGGAGCACUCUUCCCCAUGCACCUGAAGUGUUGGUCCCCUUAUUCAUUUAGGGUGGUGACCAUCCAGCUAACCAGCAGUUGUCAUUCUCCCCUCUUAAAGAACACAUGACACCAUAUUAGACAUCAUGUGGUAUUUGUUCUGGGCCUGUGUCAUCAAUUGGCACUUUCCCCUAGGAUUGAGACCCUAGGUCAUUUAGGCUAUGUCCUCAGGUCCCAAAGCUUUGUUUGGUAUUGAGAUGAUCAGUGGAUAUAUGUGGAAUGAGUAGUUAUAGGUUAUACUGGGGAAGGAGGAAGGGUUUGAAUCUGGGGCUGGGGAGGGGAACAAAGGGGACCUAACAUGAUCCUUUGUUUUUCCUUUCUUAGUAAAAGCAUAUGCAAUAGUUGACAUUAGUAUCUGUUACUUCUGCUUGGGGGUGUAUUGGUGUUUGUGUCCAUGUUCUUAGCAUUUUUGCCAUAAACCUCAGCUCUCUCCCCUACCUAUAACUCAUCCCACCUGGAAGAAGUGAGAAAACAUCUCUGGUACUCUUGGUCUGAAAAUUACUCUCUUCAAGGUGAUGUCUCCCCUCUUGGAGAGCUGUACAUCCUGUGUUAGGAGAAGAGGGUUAUGUGGCACCUGAAUAUCCUUUGCCCCAGCCCCUCCCUUGGGAGAAGGUGCAACCCUGGGCUCUGGUAGGGCCCUGGGAUUAGCUGGAAUUAGCUGGAAUCCACAUACCCAGGCCAGGUGGGAAAGGAUGAGAACACUGACCAGGAGUAGGGGACCAGGCCUGCUGUGUGGCCUUGGAGAAAUCAUUUCCUUCCCAUGUGGAAGGAGACAAUUUUGUUACAAGAUCCAUGACCCGAGGAUUUUCCACCACACUCCUGGAGGUUAUUAGUGAUGGGGUGGAAACAUUUUAGGGAGGGGACAACAGAGGCCUCUAGAGGACACUGUUGGCUAGAACGUUGGAGUUCUGGGUUUGUGGAUGUGUGGAGGUGUGUGGUUGAGUGUGUGUGAAUAUGUAUGUGAGGAGGACACAUGUACAGGAAGUAUUGGAUAUUUUGGCCAGAAAUACAACUGGGUCACUUCCAAGGGCCCAUGGAAGACAAUAAUCAGGUGAUGCAGGUGAAUUGUGCAUCUUCACUGUGUGACUGGAUUCUGACCACUUGGCUGUCCACCGUCCUGGGUAAGUUCCCUACCACUCCACAUUCCUCUCCCAAGUAUGGUCCUGGGGCCCUUGGGCUGGGUGGGGGGAUCUUGGAGAGUAGGGUCUGGGUCUGUAAUGUAGAGUCACUUGGCUCCCCAAGUUAGAAGGAGGAAUGGCUCCUCUCACCCUCUGCAUGUCAAUCAUGAUCAAUAAUCGGGGAUGGGAUGUUUAGCAAUGAAUGUGCUUCAGCCUCAUAGGCCCAGAGGGACAAAGGCAGGCAGUGAUGAGCUUGUGUGACCAGAGGGGAACCUGAGGCUGGAAGGCCUGGCAGAAGGCAGGGAGCACUGGCUUUUUGGCCCCAUUCACAGACCUGGGGGAUCUCUUCUCA